rnacentral:rRNA from 1 species
CCAAACCUUACGUCCCCGAGAAAUCGGUAGCGGGUUUCGUUAGUAGGUAGAAAGCUUCGGCGAUUAUACCGAACUCCGACUCCUUGCCGCCACAACUAACAUAAAUCAAAACCUAGGUGCUGCAGUAGGCUCUCCGGCUUCGGCUGGUAGGCUAGCUACAGUGCCGCCCACUACUAAAUAAAACUUGAACUGAACCAAAACUGUCACUGGAACCCUUCGGGGCUCCCGCGACUGUAUAAUUCAUUACAACUUUCAGCAAUGGAUGUCUUGGAUCCCACAACGAUGAAGAACGCAGCGAAAUGCGAUACGUAAUGCGAAUUGCAGGACCUCGUGAAUCAUCAAAAUUUUGAACGCACAUUGCGCUUUUGGGUAAUGCCCAAGAGCAUGCUUAUCUGAGUGUCCCUAAACCCCACUCAGCCGCUGCCGCAUGUAAAAGUGUUGGUGGCGAGCUGGACUGUGACGGUGCGUGGUUCUGCCGCGCUCCGUUCAAAUCCAUCAGUUUGUUGUUAUACCUGGGCAGUUAGCGCUGCAGGUCUGACGCAAGCGCGACAAAAGAUUCGGUAGAUGCACUGACGUGUGUUUCUUAUCUCGAGUUGUGUGAGCGAAAGCCAACCAAGUGUUUCGGCAAAUUGGGUCCUCCGGUUAAUCACCUGACGGCACUCAAAAUGAAUGUAACUCAUCUAUGGAUCUCAGAUUAAGUAAGACUACCC